AUUGAACGCUGGCGGCAGGCCUAACACAUGCAAGUCGAGCGGAUGAAGGGAGCUUGCUCCUGGAUUCAGCGGCGGACGGGUGAGUAAUGCCUAGGAAUCUGCCUGGUAGGGGGGGAUAACGUCCGGAAACGGGCGCUAAUACCGCAUACGUCCUGAGGGAGAAAGUGGGGGAUCUUCGGACCUCACGCUAUCAGAUGAGCCUAGGUCGGAUUAGCUAGUUGGUGGGGUAAAGGCCUACCAAGGCGACGAUCCGUAACUGGUCUGAGAGGAUGAUCAGUCACACUGGAACUGAGACACGGUCCAGACUCCUACGGGAGGCAGCAGUGGGGAAUAUUGGACAAUGGGCGAAAGCCUGAUACAGCCAUGCCGAGUGUGUGAAGAAGGUCUUCGGAUUGUAAAGCACUUUAAGUUGGGAGGAAGGGCGGUAAGUUAAUACCUUGCUGUUUUGACGUUACCAACAGAAUAAGCACCGGCUAACUUCGUG
rnacentral:rRNA from 1 species